rnacentral:piRNA from 1 species
UCCUAAGUCUGAUCAAGCAGCCGUGC